rnacentral:rRNA from 1 species
GGGCUAUCUGCAGUCGAGCGACAGACGAGGAGCUUGCUCCUCUGACGUUAGCGGCGGACGGGUGAGUAACACGUGGAUAACCUACCUAUAAGACUGGGAUAACUUCGGGAAACCGGAGCUAAUACCGGAUAAUAUAUUGAACCGCAUGGUUCAAUAGUGAAAGACGGUUUUGCUGUCACUUAUAGAUGGAUCCGCGCCGCAUUAGCUAGUUGGUAAGGUAACGGCUUACCAAGGCAACGAUGCGUAGCCGACCUGAGAGGGUGAUCGGCCACACUGGAACUGAGACACGGUCCAGACUCCUACGGGAGGCAGCAGUAGGGAAUCUUCCGCAAUGGGCGAAAGCCUGACGGAGCAACGCCGCGUGAGUGAUGAAGGUCUUCGGAUCGUAAAACUCUGUUAUUAGGGAAGAACAAAUGUGUAAGUAACUAUGCACGUCUUGACGGUACCUAAUCAGAAAGCCACGGCUAACUACGUGC